rnacentral:rRNA from 1 species
CCUACGGGGGGCAGCAGUGGGGAAUAUUGGACAAUGGGGGGAACCCUGAUCCAGCCAUGCCGCGUGUGUGAAGAAGGCCCUCGGGUUGUAAAGCACUUUCAGUGAGGAAGAACGCCUGGUGGUUAAUACCCAUCAGGAAAGACAUCACUCACAGAAGAAGCACCGGCUAACUCCGUGCCAGCAGCCGCGGUAAUACGGAGGGUGCGAGCGUUAAUCGGAAUUACUGGGCGUAAAGCGCGCGUAGGUGGCUUGAUAAGCCGGUUGUGAAAGCCCCGGGCUAAACCUGGGAACAGCAUCCGGAACUGUCAAGCUAGAGUGCAGGAGAGGAAGGUAGAAUUCCCGGUGUAGCGGUGAAAUGCGUAGAGAUCGGGAGGAAUACCAGUGGUGAAGGCGGCCUUCUGGACUGACAUUGACACUGAGGUGCGAAAGCGUGGGUAGCAAACAGGAUUAGAUACCCUAGUAGUC